UACUGUGAGGCUGUGGCAUGGGGUGGGGAAGUAGACACCCCCCCCAACACGCUGUGGCAAGGCUGGCACCAGGGAUCGCUGCUGCUGCUGGCCUCAGCACCCAGCUGACACUGUGUUUAUCUAGCUUCUCCUGACAGUCCCUUUCUGUGUGAUCUUGGGUGAGGCCCACACCGGAGGGGUAGGUGUCAUGCUCCAUGCCUUGAGGUGUUUCUCCACGAGUCCUUUGGAAUUCUGUGUGGGACAUUGGUCUCUGCGUCCCCAUCAGUAUUCAUCCAAUCACUGAUUUACAUCAGUGUGGACAUUUCUUUCCCACUUGGGUUACAGCCCAGUGGUCUGUUAUUAUUAUUUUUUGUUGUUGUACAUAUUGUCCUAGCUUUGGCUUCAUGGAACUUACUCUGUGGUCCCUGUGUCACUGCUGUGGAUUCUUUUGAUGUCCUGUUUUAGUCCUGAUGUUCUGGAAUGUUUUAUAACCUACUGAGGUGAGCCAGUGCUCAGCUCUGUGCCUCUCUACACCUUGGGCCUGAGCUUGCCCUUGGCUCAUAGAUGUCUUUUCUCUGCUGUGUCCUCACAGGACAAGGAGCUCUCUGGAGUCUCUUCCAUAAGGGCCCCAGUCCUCUUUAUGAGGGAUGUGUGCUCAUAAUCUGAUCACUUUCAAAGCCCCUGCUCUCACCUCCUCAAAGGUUAGCAUUUCAACAGAAACUCUGGUGGGAUACAAAUGUUUAGAUGAGACUAUUUCACCCCUGGGUUCCCAAGAUUCAUUUCCUUCUCCCCACAAAGUACAUUAACUCCAUCCUAUAUUAGCUUUCUUAUUGUUAGGACACAAUACCUGAUUCCCACAAGUUAACACAGAGAAGGUUUAAUUAGGCUCAUAGUUUAGGGGAUUCAGUCCAUACUCAGCAGGCUCCAAGACAGCAUCAGAAGGGAAGGGCGUGAUGGAGCAAAGAUGGUAGUUCAUAGUGGGCGGGAACAAAGCAGGCCAACAGUGUCAGGGCCAGGGACGAGGCAGAGUAGCCCAGGUCUCGCCUCCAUGAUACCCCGAUAUACAGUUUGCUAGGUAAUAGCUCCAAGCUAUUAACAUGUUUUCUUUCUUUUUUGGUAGCAGGGAUUAAACUCACGAUCUUCUGCCUACCAGACAAGCGCUUGAGCCACAGAGCUAAAUCCCUAGCUACUAACUUGUUCUGGAAUCAAUUCAAAAGCCUGAUGCUCAAAGCUUCCUGUAAAUAUCACACUAAUGAAUGUGGGUGAGACCCAAGUUAUGAGCCAUCCUGAAGCCACUGCUCACCAUGUGUGCAGUUCAGCAGCUCGUGCUCAGCACAGCAGUGGGCUGGCCUGGCUCAGACAACUCUGUCCAGAAGGGAGUGACAGGUGCAAGUCCCAAGCCCUCCAGGAUAAAUUUUGUUAGCUUUAAGUCCUGCGACUGCUCCUCUCUGGCCGGAGCCCUGCCCUCCAGGCCCACUGGGACAGAGACUUCUGGACAUGCAGGGUGGGGCCUCAGGGUGCUGGUCAGAGAUGAGGACCCCAUUUCUGCAGCCAUGCCAGGCAGGGCUGGGCCCUGAAACUCCUCCUGGGCCUUCCUGGUGGUGGUUUCCUGCUGAGGUCUCCAUGGUGGCUUUGUCCCAGGUCACGGUCCUGACAAGAGGCCCUAUCAGACUGGACCAUGGUCCCCGUGUCUCCAGUGGGAACUCCACGGCUGGGGCUGACCAUGGUGGCCACACACUCACAGGGGUUUUGUGCUCAGAGGGCAGUAGGAGGCACAGCGCUGAGUCCAGAGUGGCAUCUGUCCAUUGUCCUGAACAGCAGACAGGUUUCUGCUUCUGGUCAGAUGGCCAGGCACGCUUGAUCAGAUGGUCCCUAGGCCACAUCUGCCCUGUGCUCCUCUGAAAAGCUUGCCACCCUUCACAGCAUGGAUGGGGCUGAGCAUUUUCCCCACUUUGUUCUGCUUCCAUUCUGAUGAGCACAUUUCCUAAGAAGUAAUAAAGUGAAGCCAGGAUGCCCCGUGGACACUGCACUCAUAACCUGACCCCGUCAAGUGUCCAGUUCCACCACCUGCAAACUCCACCUUUCGCGAGAUUCUGGGUCACAGCUGUGACUCAACUGCAGACUCCCACGGGGAGGCAAGCGCAGCCUUUCCUCCGGAUGCUGCAGUGCUGCCUGAGGUCUCCUCAGGACGGCCUCAGCUGUCUGCAUGGCACCGACGCCUGUCUGGGGUCCCCGGGGGUAUGCUGAGGAGAUGGUGCUCACUCCACGGCUCUGGCGCUUCCUUCCUGGGCCCUCACAGCAUCAGCCUUAGGUGAUUUAUUUACGGCAACGUGGCUUUUCCUGGCGCACAGUGACUUCCAGUUCCAGAGCCGUGUCCGUACUUGGGUAUUGCUGUCAUGACACCAACUUCUUAGCAUCAGUUUCCCCUAAUACAGUUGUUCUGAGGGUCGUGCUUGCAUCAUGUGAGUUUGGAGCAACACAAUCAUUCAGACUGUCCUUCCUUUGAGUUGCUGGUAUUUUUGGUGUGUGUGUGGGGGGGCUGGUACACAUUUUACUUUAUAUUUUUUUCUAUCCACCUAGCAGGCCCAGGGGCUGCAGCUGGAUAAUCUAAGAGGCAGCCACAGCUGAUCCACUGGGCGCCCACUCUGGCCCCUGGCCUGGCAUUCCAAACUGGGCAGGGACUUCAAAGGGCUCAGAAAGUGGCUCCAGAUUCUUGGGUGCUAUAUAUAAAGUGAAAAGAUGAAUCAUUGGGUGAAACUAGCACAAAGCUCGCAGGCAGAGCAGUGAAGCUGGAGGAGGAGCCCAGGAAAGCCAUGUGUAAGACCCCCUGGGAAGGCACCGGAGGCUUUGCCACCCCAAUCUGUGCACCGUGGGGUGCAUGGUGACCCCUCUGAACUUCAGUCUCCUUCACGGUACAGAAGGACCCAAUCUGGCAUUACAGAAAGGCUCUGGGGAUUGAGCAGGCCCCUGGCACUCUCUGGAGCAGCACGUCCCCAACGUCCCUAGUGGGGUCACGGCUAAGCCAGAGAGCUCUGGCCUCGGCCCCUCAGCUAGGGCAGCUCCACUCCUGUCCCUGAGGCAUCGGCUCCCACUUGUGAUGCUGGGGAGGGGACUUCCUGGCUGGCUGCCUCGGACCCCUCCGCCCCACACCUCCCCUCCAUCAUUUGCCCCUGCCAUGAUUGGAUCCCUACUAGGGGCCCCAUUAGCAGCCGGUGUGGCCAGCAGAUGUGGCACACAGGCAGGGCCUCUUACCACUGACAGAGGACGGCCAGCAGCCAGGAGCACCUUGCAUGCCAGGGUGUGUCCAGGCAGGCCCUUCUCGUGCCUCCUCCUCAUCCCAGCCCUGUUGCCUCCCCUUGGCUGGUGCAGGCCUGAUGAAGGCAGAGGUGACCUUGGAGGCCAGGGUCACCACCAUUGUCCUCUCCAGAUCUUCAGCUUUGGCUUCCGGCCACAACCCCUGCAUCUAUGCAACAGCAGUGCCCCACCCACCUCCCUGCUCACUUCCGGCUGUCUCCUCACGGUGGCUGCUGACGUGGAGAAUGCAUGUGUGUGCUCUUUCCUCCUCCUCACCCUGCCCUCUCUCUGCUGCUUCCUUAUCUCUGACAGCACAGGGCACCAGGGCACCUGCCUCCGCCAGCAGCUGUCCUCCCUGUGGGCAGUGACAGGUGGCAUUGGUGAGAGGACCUCGCCCCAGGUAUGUGUGUAGCUGCAGGUGGCAGUGAGGGGCAGUCACGCAGGGCAGGUGGAGGCUGGGCUGAGGGUACAGCAGGGGCUGGGUCUGGCAGGGCACCAGCUGUUCCGUUGUCUGCUUAGAAGUUGAACUAUAAUUCUAGUACUCUGGGAGGCUGAGGCAAGAAGAUUCUGAGUUUGGGCACCUUCGUGAGACUUUGUCUCAAAAUUUGAAAGAAAUUUGAAAAAGGCUGUGAAUGGAGCUCAAUGCAAAGGCCUUGCAUCCAAUUCCCAGUACUGCAAAACAAAACUCAACACCGGGAAAGAAAGCCAGUUUUCUAAACUCCCUUCCUGCGUGCAGGUGAGAAGACAGAUCUGGGCUGUCUGGGUCUCUGGUGUCGCUGCCCAUCAGGCACCGGGGGUUUGAGACCUGUCCCAGUCCCAGCUGUGAGUGAUGCAGGCUUUGCUGGUUCCGGUCCUGCCUGGACAGCUGUCCUCCGCCCUGGCUCUCCUGUCUGCUCUGAGCACACCCUCCCCAGCGGUAGUGGAAAUGUCCAGGUGUCGGCAUGGGGCGUGAAGCCCCGCAUUCGCCAUGUGGUGUCAAUGUGCCACCGAGCCUGAGUCCUAGGGCUGUCACGACCACGCAGGUGGUGUGGGGAGAGGCAAAGACAGAGACAAAUAAUGGAAGAUUCAGUGCAUUUGUGUCUUUUAUUUUUAAUACUAUUUAACAUUUUUUUUUAGUACCAGGGAUCGAACUCACGACCUCAUGCAUGCCAGGCAGGCGCUUGUUCAGCUGAGCUAAAUCCCCAGCUACCGUUUAACUUUUAGUCAUGACCAUCCUUUUACAGAUGAUCUGUGAAAUUCCCGAACAUGUACCAUUCGGCUCGUGGGAGUAGACAAGCCCGCUGCAGCACAGGCAAAACCUCGACCCCCUCCGAGGCCUCGCAGGGGGCCGUGUGCCCCCAACUCUCCUCCUCAACAUGGGUGGCUGCGCCCAUGCUCCUUGUAGCCACUCUCAGGCCCCGUGUGGCCCUCGCUGGCCCUGCUCUUCUGUCUGCCCUCUGCCUGCAGCUCCUUCCCUGCCUCUUGCCCCCUCAGCAUUUCUGGGGAGCACUAGCCCGGGCCAGCGCUUUGCUGAGCUGGGGAUGCAGAUGUGGCCGCUGUCCCCUGGAGCCUGUGACCUCACAGGGCUGGGGCCCAGGAACCCAAGAAGCUGCAGACAUGGUAGACAGGGCACAGGGCGGGGCACCUUUGACUGCUGCCAGGCAGCCCCUGCUGGGCUGGAGAGCCCAUAGAAGCAUCUGGAUUGGACCAGGACUUCCUCAGGAACCCGGACAGUGCUCCUGGGGACCAUGGGCCACCCUGGGACAUGCACCUCAGUGCCCCAGGGGGGACUGCUUGGUGGCCUCUCUUCCCAGAGUGGCCGCAUGAUGGCUGGGUGACCCAGUGUGUGGCCAUUACAGUGAUGGGGAGCGCGUAGGGUACCCCAUGUGUACCCCAUGACACAGCCUUUGUGCUGCACCCUGCCACACCCCGACAUGGCAAGUUACAGUGUGGCUUCUGAAGACAGAAGACCUGCCAGAGCUUGAACUCAGAGGGGUCAGCAGGUGGGAUGGCACGCAGGCCAGAUAGGAAGCGGCAUCGCAGUCGUGCAGACUCUGGUCCCGCCUUGCAGUGUCCCUGCUGACGUCGAAUUAGUUGGUUAACACAAGCCACAAAUUUGCUGCCAGUGGCUUGCGAGAGUUGAGGGGUGGAUACAUUUUCUGGGACCUGCGACGCUAAAAGCAAAGCUGGGCCUUGAUUGCCCUCUGGUGGUUAAAAUCCACCACUGCACCGUCGAUUGUGGCCUCUGGUGUCGCUGCUGCAGCCCACCUCCAGGAAGGCACAGAGCCUUUUUUCUUCCUGAGUCAGCGUCUCGCUAUGCAGUUUAUGAUGGCCUCCAAUGCGCUUUGUAGCCCAGGCUGGCUUUGAACUUGCAGCAAUCCUUCUGCCUCAGCCUCCCCAGUGCUGGGAUUACAGGCAUGCACCACCACGCCUGGCUCCUGAGGCCUUAUUAAAUUGAAUUAGUGCUCAUUUUUUUUCUCUUUUUCAGUACUGUGGAUUGAACCCAGGGCCUUCACACUGAGCUACAUCCCCAAUCCUUUUUUAUUCUGAGAAGGAUUCUUGUGAAGUGACUGCAUUGCCUAGGCUGGGCACCAACGUGUGAUUCUCCAGCCUCAUCCUCUGAGACUGCUGGGUUACAGGUGUGCCGGUUUUGGGUCUUUAAACCCAGCUAUUGCCCUCCCAGCAGUUCUCGCAGCCUAGAAGCCGGUCUCCCGUGAGCUGAGGGCUGGAGUCUCUCUCCUGACAUCAUGGUUUUAGUCUGAUCAGGAUAGGUGUCCACGUCCCUCCUGCAGGCUGGUGGCAGUCACGUCCCGGUGGUGGAAAAUGUGGGGAUUUAUUGUGCCUGGGCAGAGGGGGCCGCUCAGACGGCCUCCAGCCAGCUCUGCCCGGCUCUGGUGGUUUUAGGCUGGGUUCUGCUGUGUUUUCAGGCACACCGCGUGCAGUCUCUUUCUCCUCCCUUCUUGCUGGCUCCCUGCUCCUUCUUUACCUUCUUCCUCGCCUCCCUUUUUUUCCCUUCUUUUUUUAUCAGGCUAAUAAGUCGCCUCAGGAAAUGAAUUUGAAAUUGUGUCCCUCUGUUCAAAUUUCUAGAAAUCUAGUUUUUAAAGAAUUUUAUUUUAAAGAGAAUAAAACUAAACCAAAUAAAACAGAAUAAAGCCAAUCAAAACAAAACAGUGAAACACGACUUCGAAACAAGAUAAUAGGAAGCCAAGAACGGCUACCAUAAUAUAUCUUGUUAUCUUCAAAAUAAUUGCCUAUACCAUCAGACACAACAAAAUUAAAAAAAGAAAACCAAAGUGGAAUAAAACCAAACUGCACCAAACAAUGAAAACAAUACAGGACUUUAAAACAAGACAACAGGAAAUCAACAGUCAUUACCAUAAAGCCUCUUGUCAUCUUCAAAUUAGCUGUCCGGACCAUCAGGCACAGGCAUGUAAAAUUAACCAAUGAUACGAGAACUAAGUGGCCUCUUCAGUUGUCAUCUUUUCAGAAGUUUCAGGUGUGUGGCUUCUAAUUUCUGUUAUGUCUGUGUCUCCUGGAUGUGUUCUGCGUGGGCUGGAGCUCUGAGAUUGUAUUUUGCCCCUUCGUCUUGACAUUUUCCUGUGUUGGCCUGAAUCAGCCCACUGCAGCACCCGGCUGCUUCCUGCAUUGGCCGCCAGUCCCUCGGUGCCAGGGGUUGGACUGGGCACCUGGCUUCCUGGAGUGGUGCAGAGGUGCGGGGUGGCGGGGCCUCGGGCUGUGGCUCUUCCCCGGCCCAUGCUGGGCUGCUGGCGCUUGGCCUCGGAGCAUGUUACUUUUUUCUCUGUUGGUAUUUGGUAGAACUUGCAGCAAAGCCGUCUCAGCCUGAUUUUUUUUCUUUGUCAGCACAUCUAGAACUACAAAUUCAGUUUCUUCCGUAUGAUCCCAGGUCAUGUGUUGGUUUCUGGAGUGUCUCGGCAGGUGGUGCUGUUCAGGGCUGGUCAUGGCCUCUCUGUGGCCGAAUCUCUUCCUGCAGGUCUGUGUGCUCGUUCCUCGCUGGCCGUGCUGUCGUCCGUGAGCCUGCAGUAAAAGCUUCUCUUCUACUUCUGAUGUUACUCACUGUGUCUUCUGCCUUCUCUGUUUAAUAGUCCUUCCUUUUUCCUUAGUCUGACCACUAGUAGUAUGUCAGUUGCGUUGAUCUUCUAAAACUAAAACGGCUGUUGAUCUCACUGACGUUUCUCCAUUUUUUCUGUUUCCAGUUUAAUUGGUUUUUCUCUCAUAUUUAUUUCUUCCUUAUUGUUGUUUGCUUUGGCUUUUUUCUGCUUUUAUCUUUGUAGUUUCCUCAGGUGAAACAUUAGAUUAUUGGUCCUGCUGCCCUCGGACUCCCGGACCUCCACCGAUGCACAGGGCCUGGCCAGGCCGCUUCUGCACCCCGCUGUCCCACCCUCGGGGACCCCCCACCUCCUGAACCUAGCAUUGCUGUUGAUUUUGGCUCCCACUCCUCCUCCCAAAACCUUGGACUGCAGUGGAUUAACCGUGCUAGGAUGAUGGGAGACUCAGUAACCCCUCAUCCAAACAGAAGACCUCAGCAGGCUUCCAUCAGUGUGGUGAGUUUGCCCAUAAAAUAGAGGUCUUCAGUGGUUAAACAGGAGCGAUAGAAAAGCUCCCUCUAGCUGUAGGGCCUUGGCAAGGACUCUGUAUGAGUCCUUCCUCCAGUCAGAGAACAUCAGGUAGGUUGAGGACAGUGUUCUUAUUUUAAGAAAAAAUAAAAGGGCUUAGGAGACACUCAGCGACACAGUAGGGUCCCACCCGAGACAAACACUAUAGACAGGGACAUGUGUGACCUGAAACAACCUGAAGACAUAGUAACAGCAGGAACUAAGGGUUGACUUACAUCAGUACUCCUAGGCUAGUCAGCUCAGGAAGAACAUAGAUCUCACCCAACAGGGCCAGCGGAGGAGUUCAGGUGACUGGCCCUCCUCUUCAUUGUGGUGCCCAGCAACUGGACAAACAUCAACCACACGGUACGACCCUAAGAUACACACUACCAAUAGCUGAGACUAGUGGGAUUAAAAGACCAAAUAUUAGCCUGAAAGGUGAAAAUGACAAAACAAAAAGGCAAAAUGCAAUCUUAAACAUCUAGCCCCUCAGGAGCAAGCACCAGGAGACAUUGAAAUAGAGGACUUUAAAAGUCACACACCAGAAAUCUCUGAAAAGAUAGCCAGUGAAAUAAAGAAACAAAUUCAUGAGGCUAUAGAGGAAAUCAGAUUAGAAAUAGUUUCUCACAUAAAGACAGAAAUAACAACUUUAGUAAAGGUGUUGCUCAGCACAGCUAGAGAAGAAAUAGAUAAAGAAGUAUAGGAGCACGGGAAACUGAUUGAAACCUUAAAGAAAACAAGCAGAAUCCAUGAAAGAACUUCAGAGAGACAUCCAGGAAACCAAAAAUUCUAUGAAAGCUGGAAAACUGUUUAAAUGAAGAUAGAAUUUCAGACCUUGAGGACAGGAUCUCAGCAAUCAUGAAAGGAUAGAACUUUUAAAAAUAACAAACCAGCAUGAAAAGACAAUUCAGUAGCUUCAAGAUGAUGCCAAGAGAAAUAAUAUAAACUGAGAGGCAUCAGUGAAGAUGCAGGAGUCAACACAAAUGAGAUUGGUAAACUAUUCACAGAAGUAAUAGUAGAAAAUUUCCUGAACAUGGGGAAAAAAUCUGAUAUACAGAUAAGUGAGGCAUAUAGAACUCCAAAGAGUUGCAACCAGCAUAAAUCUACAUCCAGACAUAUAAAAAAUUAAGAUCCCAGACAUGCCACAUAAAAGCAGAAUACUAAAAGCUGUUACAAAAAAGACACAGCUCACCUACCAAGGAAACCCCAUUAGAAUCAUGGCAGACUUUUCAGCACAAACCCUCAAGUUAAGACGAGCUGGUGUGAAGUAUUUCAAGCCCUGCAAGAAAACAAAUUUCAACCCAAACUGAUGUACCCAGAAAAACUUUCUUUCAAAUUUAAUGAAGAAACAAGAUACUUCCAUGACAAAAAGCAAUUCAUGUCCACCAAACCAACCCUAGAAAGAGUACUGAAAGUCAUACUAGAUAGAGAUAAAGAUGACCACAAUUUCCAGAACAACAACAGAAAGAAACUACCAGGCAAGGCAAGCAAUUAAACAAGGGGGAAAAGCAGAAAACCAAUAACAGGAACAUAGCAUGGUGAAGUUGAGCCAGUGCAUAUCAGUUAUACCCAUCAAUGUAAAUGGCCUCAAUUCACCUAUCAAAAGAGAUAGACUGACAGAAUGGAUCAAGAAACAUGAUUCCACAAUAUGUUGUAUACAAGAAACACAUCUGACCCAAAAGGAAACUCAUAGGUUAAAAUUCAAAAGGUGAAAAACAGUAUUCCAUGCAACGGGAACCCAGAAAAAAGCAGACAGUGUGAACUUCUAUUUGCAGACAAUGUGAACUUCAAACCUAAAAUGAUUACAAGAGAUAAAGAAGGCCUCUACCUACUUGUUAGUAGAAAAAUUCAAGAGGAAAAACUAACAAUUAUAACUAUAUAUACACCAAAUACAGGAGAACCCAACUGUAUAAGACAAAUACUAAUGGACUUGAAAAGCCAAAUACACAAGAACACAAUCGUAAUAGGGGACCUUAAUACUGUCACAGAGAGAUAGAUCAACCUGACAAAAGUCAGCAAGGAAAUAAUAGAACUGAAUCAUACCUGUGAGCAAAUGGACUUAGUGGAUGUUCAUCCAAUCACAGCAGAAUACACAUUCUUCUCAGCUGCACAUGGGACAUUCUCCAAAAUAGACCAUAUAUUACCCAUAAAUCAUUCUUAAGUAAAUGCAAAGGGACUGAAAUCAUCCCGUGCAUAUUAUUGGACCAUAGUGUACUGAAAUUGGAAAUUAAUGGCAAAAGAAAUUGCAAAACCUGCAUAAAUACAUGGAACUUAAAUAACAACCUUCUGAACAAGGUUUAGAAGGUUUAAUUUCAUCUUGAAAUUAAAAAGUAAGUAAGCAAUACCUACAAUUCAUCUUGAAAUUAAAGAAGAAAUUAAGCAACACCUACAACUCAAUGAAAAUGUGGAUACGACAUACUGUAACCUGUGGGACACGGUGAGAGCAGUCCUAAGAGGGAAAUAUAUAGCAAUAAGUUGUCAUAAUAAGAAACCAGAAUGAGUGCAAAUAAACAACCUAAUGCUGCAUCUCAAACUUCUAGAAAAAGAAGAGCAAGUAAAACCCAAAGUUUAUAGAAGAGAGGAAAUUGUAAAGAUCAGAGCAGAAAUUAAUGCAGUUGAAACUAAAAAAAUACAAAGCAUUAAUGAAUCAAAGAACUGGUUUUUGAGAGGAUAAACAAAAUUGAUAAACUUUUUGUCAACUUUAUCAAGAAAAAGAAAGAAAAAACUCAAAUUCAUGCAAUAAGAGCUGAAAAGAGAGAAAUUACUACCGAUCUCAUGGAAAUUCAAAAGAUCAUGAACACCUACUUUGAAAAUCUCUACUCACAUAGGGUGGAAAACAUAGAGGAAAUGGACAGAUUUCUAGAAACAUAUAAGUUACCAAAGCUCAACCAAGAAGAUAGAGCGAUUUUGAACAGCCCAAUAUCAGCUAUUGAAAUUGAAAACAUGAUUAAAAACUUACCAACAAAGAAAAGCCAAGGUCCUGAUGGAUUCACAGCUGAAUUCUACAAGAAAUUUAGAGAAGAUUUAAUGCCAAUACUCCUUAAACUCUUCAGUGAAAUUGAAAGAGAAGCAGUCCUCCCUAAAUCAUUCCUGGAGGCAAGUAUCACUCAGAUAUGAAAACCAGAGAAAAACUCAACCAAGAAGGAGAACUAUAGGACAGUCUCCCUGAUGAACAUUGAUGCACAGAUUCUCAAUAAAAUACUGGCAAAUAGAGUACAACAAGUCAUCAAGAAGAGUCUACAUCCCGACCAAAGGGGAUUUGUUCCAGGAAUGCAGGGAUGGUUUAAUAUAUGCAAAUCAAUAAAUGUAAUACACCAUCUCAACAGAGCCAAAAACAAAAACCACCUGAUCAUCUCAGUAGAUGCAGAAAAGUUUUUGAUAAAGUCCAGUACUCGUUCAUGAUAAAAAUGCUACAGAACUUAGAAUAGAUGGUAUCUACCUCAAUCUCAUGAAGGCCAUUUAUGACAAACCAACAACCAACAUUAUACUCAAUGGAUAAAAACUGAAAGCUUUCACUCUAAAAUCAGGAACAAGACAAAGAUGUCCACUGUCAGCACUACUAUUCAAUAUAGUUCUGAAAAUAUUAGCCAGAGCAAAAGAGAUAGAAACAUAGGGAAUAACGAUAGGAAAGGAAGAAGUUAAAUUAUCAUUUCCAGAUGACAUGAUACUAUAUAGAAGACCCAAAAACUCCAUUAAAAGACUACUAGAGCUAAUAAACAAAUUCAGCAUGUAGCUGGAUACAAAGUCAACACUCAGAAAUCAAUAACAUUCCUGUACACAAACAAAAGACUCACGAGAGAGAAAUUAUGGAAUAAUAGCACCUAAAAAAAAUGAAAUACCUAGGAAUCAACCUAACCAAGAAUGUAAAAGACCAACAUGCUGAAAAGCAUAGUAGUUUAAAAAAGGAAACAGAAGAGGAUAUUAGAAAAUGGAAGGAUAUUCCUUGCUCUUGGUUAGGAAGAACCAACAUUGUGAAAAUGGCCAGAAUCCCAAAAGUGUUACACAGAUUUAAUGCAAUCCCAAUCAAAAUACCAUUAACAUACUUUGCAGAUUUAGAGAAAACACUCCUAAAAUUCAUUUGGAAACAGAAGAAACCUAGAAUAGCAAAGGCAAUUCUGAGCAACAAAGGCAAGGCAAGAGUUCAGUUCAUUAUUAGAAACUGUACUACAAAGCUACAGUGAUAAAAUCAGCAUAGUACCGGCAAAGAACUAGACCUGAGGAUCAAGGGAACAGAUUAGAAGGUGCAAACACAAAUACAAAGACACUCAGCCACCUAAUAUUUGACAAAGGAGCUAAAUAUGUUCAGUGGAACAUGGUGUUGGAAAAAUUGGCUUUCCACAUGCCAAAGACUGAAACUAGACCCAUGCCUAUCACCAUGCACUAAACUAAAGUCAAAAUGGAUCAAAGAUCUAAACAUUAAAACAGAAACACUAAAUCUACUGGAAGACAAGGUAGGUAGAAAUCUUGGAGACAUAGGGGUAGGCAGAGAAUUCAUGAGCAAAGCACAAACUGCAUGAGAAAUACUUUAAAGAAGCAAGAAUUGGAAUCUCAUAUUAUUAAAAAGAUUUGCACUUCAAAAGAAAUCACUAACCGAGUGAAAGAAAACCCACAGAAUGGGAAAGAAUUUUAGCCAGCAACCCCUCAGACAAAGGACUUAUAUCAGAACAUGUAAAGAAUUGAAAAACAUCAAGCCCCCAUAUUCAACGAGCCUUUCCAAAAAUAGGCAUCUGAGAUGAACACACAUUUCUCAGAUGAAGGUAUACAAAUGGCAAAUAAAUACAGGGAGAAAUGUUCACCAUCACUGGUCACUCGGGAAAUGCAAAUUAAAACACCAUUGAGAUUUCAUCUCACUCCAGAAAAAAUGGCUGCCAAGAAAUCAACUGAUAACAAAUGUUGGCGAGGCUGUGGGGAAAAAGGAACACUGCUCCACUGUUGGUGGGAGUGUAGACUGGUGCAACCACUAUGGAAAUCAGUAUGGAAAUUCCUCAAAAAAACUAGGCUUGGAAGUUCCAUUCACCAUCUAUUUCCCUCCUGGGUAUUUUAAAAGGUCAUGUCACAAUAAUACAUAUGCACCCAUGUUUAUAGCAAGCACAAUUUGUAAUAGCUAAAUCUUGGAAACAACUAAAAUGCCCAUCAACUGCAGAGUGGAUGAAAAAUAUGUGGUAUUUUUAUACAAUGGAAUAUUACUCAGCUAUAAAAAAUGAUCUUGAGAUUUUUAAUAGGAAAAUAGAAGCAACUCGAGACUAUCCUCAUAAGUGAAAUAAAUAAGACUCAUAUUUGUAAAUAUCACAUUGUCUUCUUAGUGUAAAAAAUUUUAAAAAUUUUGACAAAGGAGCUAAAUAUGUUCAGUGGAAGGAGUAAUAAGAUCCAAAAUGUAUAAUAGAUAUUAUAAAAAUGAAAGUGCUCUAAAGGAUAUAACUGUAUCUAUGUUUAAGUAUAUAAGUUAGAUGACCACAUUACUAAGUUUUUGUUGGGUCAUUGAGCAGAACUGUUCUCAGUCUCACUGUUUGAUUGCCCGCUUUGUUUAUAUGCUUUGAUUUUGUAACUUAAACAACUAUUUUUAAGAUGACAAUAUGUAAUUUAUCAACUAGUGAUUUCUUUUUUUUUCCUUUUUUAAAAUUUUAUUUUGAAAGUAUACAACAGAACAAGUCAGAAUAAAGCCAACUAAGAUUGUACAGUGAAAUUGGUACAGAACUUCACAGCAGGUUACUGGGAUAACAGUAAUAGGUAUCACAGUAUAUUUUGUUAUCUUUAUAAUAGUUGUUCUUUCAAUCACGUAUAUCAAAAUGAGAUGAAAUAUAGAACACUAUAGAACUUAUCAAAACAGAAUAUUGAAUAGAGCAGUACCAUUAACCAGAAAAGAGCGAAACAGUAAUAAAAAUAUUUGCCUUCAAAGAAAUGGUAGAAGGAAGUCCCCCCUAUUUGCUAUGGUCAACCUCCCAGGAGAUGCCCAGAUUUCUGGUUCCCAUUUGCUAAUGGACGGGGGGUAGGGGGAGAAGGAAGAUCAGGGAAGUGGGAUAUUUGACUCUAGGCCAUGUAGCAGUAGGUUCACUAUUGCUAAGCAGGGAGGCAGGAUGGUCAUUUGUUUUCACAGCGUCCUCAGUUCCAACAUGGCGUGGAUCGCAGGAGACACUGCUGGUUCUCCCCCUGGAAGGGCUGCAGUCUGCCACCUGCCUCCGCUUACCAGGGAGGGGAGGUGCUGGCUUGGCUUCCCAGAGUCCUCAGUUCAACAUGGCCAACUAAUAAUUUCUUAGUGUUAAUAUUUCUUUUUUGAAAUUCUGUAUUAUUUCUACCCUUUUUUCUAAAUAAACAAUUAGAUCAUUGAUUUGAGUUCUUUCUUUUUUAAAGAUAAGAAUUUAUUAUAAGUUUCCUCUCAAGCAUUGUGUUUAGCCGAUAACCCACACUGUAGUUUCAUUUUUUUUAGUAGGCUAGCCCUUCUUUACACUUUAACUAUUUUUAAUUUGUGUGUUCUUUCUUUCAUGUCAUUUUUAUUGGAAAUUUAUCUUUUCCAGGGGGUGGUGAUUGAGGCAGGGUUUUGCUACGUAAGUCAGGCUGCCGAAACUCACUACGUAGCCAGGCUGGCCUUGAGCUUGCAGUGAUCCAUGCUGGCACCAACACUGCUUGUAGAAAGGUGGCAGAAAUCAGUGAGACAGGAGUUGGGGUUCCACCAGGCGGUGAGGACGGUGGCCCCCAAAUGGAGUCAGGAAGCCCCUGUGGAGCCUGCUGAGUCAUGACCCGGGAUCUCCCAGAAACCUCUGCCAGGCGUCCUUCGGCUGGUGGGGACCCCAGAGAACGGCGGGCAGCACGCUGGCUGAAGGGCACGUGGUCCCUGUGUGGACGCCGCGUGAAUACUACAUGGCCUGCGCCCUAAAAUUCUGCAGUCUCCUGCAGGUAGGGAUUACAUUGCUUCCACGAGGGCCAAGCUCCCUCCUAAGUCUCAUAAACACCCCAGACAAAGAGCCUCGUGGGCCUGCUCUGAGCGCCCCCCUGGCAGGCCGGAGCUCCGUCCUUGGUGCUGUGUCUUCUUCCUUUCCUUUACUGCUCUUGCUUCUUUGUCUUUUACCUUUUAAGGGAAUUUGCUGGCAUCUUGCUGCCUCUUGUGCGAUUCCCGUCUUAGCACUGUGAGCCACGGCUCUGACUGCUGACCCUGUUUCUUACCUGCUAGCCGGUGACUCGGACUCUUCCUCUGAUCUUUGAACUUUAAAUCAAGGAGAUUUAAGCAGCUACCGGAUGAGAGAGGAAAGGCGCCGAGGUUAAGAGCGUCCAGGUCCACGGCCAGGCCUUGGCGGGGCUGAGGUGGCCCACCGGAGGCCUGUUCUGGGCUUUAACUCCCCACAGGCCCUCCCCAAAGUGCUCACUGCCUUUCCAAUGUCUAGACCCUUCAGGACUGCCCGCAGGAGACGCUCUGCUCCCGUUUGCCCACAGGAAGGUAGACGGGGCGGAAGCCCGCUCCUUGGUGACUUCACUGCUCGAGCACACUCUGUAAGCAGCGUGCAGGCCACCAGGAUACUCUGACCAGCGCCUUUGGCCACGAACCCCACCGAGUUUCUUUACCAGUGCCUAAUUUCUGGUAAGUUUUACGGAGACCUCUCUGCGAUGUGAGCCCCGUCACCCCCGGGUCAGCCCAGGGGCCAAGCCUCGGAUAGCAGCCCACGACACACACCCGGUGAGAACGUUUUCCUUUUAAUAAAAAGCUGUUUGUAUCACUGAAA